UGGGGAAUUUUGGACAAUGGGCGAAAGCCUGAUCCAGCAAUGCCGCGUGUGCGAAGAAGGCCUUCGGGUUGUAAAGCACUUUUGUCCGGAAAGAAAUCCUUGGCUCUAAUACAGUCGGGGGAUGACGGUACCGGAAGAAUAAGCACCGGCUAACUACGUGCCAGCAGCCGCGGUAAUACGUAGGGUGCAAGCGUUAAUCGGAAUUACUGGGCGUAAAGCGUGCGCAGGCGGUUUGCUAAGACCGAUGUGAAAUCCCCGGGCUUAACCUGGGAACUGCAUUUGUGACUGGCGGGCUAGAGUAUGGCAGAGGGGGGUAGAAUUCCACGUGUAGCAGUGAAAUGCGUAGAGAUGUGGAGGAAUACCGAUGGCGAAGGCAGCCCCCUGGGCCAAUACUGACGCUCAUGCACGAAAGCGUGGGGAGCAAACAGGAUUAGAUACCCUGGUAGUCCACGCCCUAAACGAUGUCAACUAGUUGUCGGGUCUUCAUUGACUUGGUAACGUAGCUAACGCGUGAAGUUGACCGCCUGGGGAGUACGGUCGCAAGAUUAAACUCAAAUGAAUUGACGGGGUCAUAGC
rnacentral:rRNA from 1 species